rnacentral:lncRNA from 1 species
AGUUGACAGUACUUUGCUUGGUCACAAGCAAUAAUAUCAGCAAGUUUGUAUUUCCAAGCUGCAACUCAUUAAAACGGCUCCUUAAAACAAGAUAUUUGACUUGAACUGGCUGCUCACCAUCCAGCAAUCUCCCAAUAAUGAGUUGUUUUCCGACAUAAGUUCGGUGCAGCCAAUUCUCCAGUGGACAUUAUGAGACAAGCUGUUGCUAGGAGAAUAGUGACAAAGCCAGACAACCCAACAGGGAGCUCUUAUUUUUGGUCUAGACAACAAAAGCAACAGGGACCCGACCAAAGAUAUACCAGGCUGUGUUCCAUGAUAUAACAUGAGCCAGGACUACAGGUGUCUUCAAAUGCAACAGAAACAGUGUCCAUCACCCAGAAGCUGUGUUGAGUUCAAACACUACCGCCGUCUAGCUCACAUCAUUACCAUCUGCAGGGAGGGCGAGCAGGCAGCAGAGGGAGACUUCUUUUUACCUUUUUCACAGGUUGGACUACAGAGAAGCAACAGGCACAGUGGGAAAGGGCUGCGGAUGACCUGUGUGAUAUUUUUCCUUCUGGCAUUGACCUUCCUCAUGGGAUUAGUUGGAAAGGAUGACACUGAUGUACAAGACUAUGAUGCGGACAUCUUUCUUCCAACCAAAGCGUUGUGGUUGUUUGGAUGUCUGCUGUUGUGGACUGUUUGGUUGCUCCUGCGCCUUCUCCAGAUGUUCCUGUGGUUGAUCAAAGGGCUGCUGUGGUUUAUCUCCAUCUCUGUGUCCCCACUGUGUCACUGUUUGACGCUCCUUCUGUCCUGUCUUCUACUGCUGCUGCAUUACAUGUGCGAUGCAGUGUUUUUUGCAACCACCAGUCCUGUGUUUGUUUAUAGCAUGCUUCUCAGUGUUGGCGUUUCAUAUCUCAUUUUCACCAGGUGA